AUCUAAAUAGUUUAAAUAAAAUAUUGAUUUGUGAUAUCAAAGAUAUAGUUAUAUUUUAGAUU
rnacentral:tRNA from 2 species